GCUGUUUCAGGUUUCAGACUUCCGUCAAAUUUCUACAUCACUAUACAGGGGAUGUGAUCAAUAUUUUCCCAUUCUCUCUCCCACUGCUGUUCGAGGAGCUUGGAUUUCUAGACGGGAAAGAGUGGCCGGAAGGCCUUCUACAGGCGAGGACCGGAGUUUCUUGCAGUCCCUCAGCUUCAGAUCCUCGAGCAGUGGAGACGAUCCUGGGACAUCAGAAAUGGAUAAUUCCUGGAACGAGGUAAGAUUCUGCAUCCCACUGGGGAGGGCCCUGAGAUUCUUGCAGCUCGUGAUGCGGACCUUCCUGAGAUUUGCAGCAGGAAAUCCUUCCUCCGGGAAGAACUCGAGAAGGGGACACCAGUUGAUUUCCAAAUAAUCGAGGCUUGAGAGCUUGUGAAGCCCGUUGGGCAGGUGCUACAGGGCUGUGCAUUUACCGACCCGAAGAGACUCAAGAGCCGUGUUUCCACCUUCCAGCUUCAUAAUAUCGGCUAGUGACUCCAAACUUGAGCAGUUGAAUAUGGUCAGUGUUUUCAGAGUGGCCGGUAAUCGACCGAUUGGUAAGGACACGAGAGAACUAGAAGAGCAGUCGAAGAUCUCAAGAACGUUGAGUGAUAUAUAUGCUUCCAACAAUGAUUAUAUUGUGAAGAGAUUGAAGAUUCGGGCAGUUAUCAAUGACUAGCUGUCGGAAAGAGGUCGGGAUGUUGUGACCUCCUGAGCUUGGGAAUGAGGGUAACUCAUAACAUCUGCUGAUGUACAAAUACCAAGGCACGAUCGAUUGAUGUUGAUCGUCUCUUUUGGCAAUGACUCGAGGCCACACUGCCAAAUCACGAGCCCCCUCAGCAUGGGUGGGAAGCUCGAGUCUGGGAAAGAGACUAGCUCGGGGCAGUCCCUGAUCGUGAGCUCUCUGAGAGAUGUUGUCCCGUGGACAUUUGCAGGUAGGCUCCUGAGGCUGAGGCAAUUCUCCAAUUCUAAAUCCUUGAGUUCGGCUGGAAGCUGUUGCUCUUUCUUGGACAGAGAAACCAUUACGGGGAAUUAUCAUACUACCAGACUCUGAAGAAUUAGGUGGGGUUGAGUUUUGAUUUUAAUUGGGUUGUAAUGAUUGUGUUGUUGAAUAGUUAAGAGAAAGUAAUGAUUGUGUUGUUGAUGUUA